rnacentral:rRNA from 1 species
GACGAACGCUGGCGGCGUGCUUAACACAUGCAAGUCGAACGAUGAAGCUAGAGCUUGCUCUGGUGGAUUAGUGGCGAACGGGUGAGUAACACGUGAGUAACCUGCCCCGAACUCUGGGAUAACUGCUGGAAACGGUAGCUAAUACCGGAUAUGACCAAUGAAGGCAUCUUCUGUUGGUGGAAAGAAUUUCGGUUCGGGAUGGACUCGCGGCCUAUCAGCUUGUGGGUGAGGGAACGGCUCACCAAGGCGACGACGGGUAGCCGGCCUGAGAGGGUGAUCGGCCACACUGGGACUGAGACACGGCCCCGACUCCUACGGGGGGCAGCAGUGGGGAAUAUUGCACAAUGGGCGCAAGCCUGAUGCAGCAACGCCGCGUGAGGGACGACGGCCUUCGGGUUGUAAACCUCUUUUAGUAGGGAAGAAGCGAAAGUGACGGUACCUGCAGAAAAAGCACCGGCUAACUACGUGCCAGCCGCCGCCGUAA